rnacentral:rRNA from 1 species
UACGUAGGGGGCUAGCAUUGUCCGGAAUCAUUGGGCGUAAAGAGCGUGUAGGCGGUCCGGUAAGUCCGCUGUGAAAGUCGGGGGCUCAACCCUCGAAUGCCGGUGGAUACUGUCGGGCUAGAGUACGGAAGAGGCGAGUGGAAUUCCUGGUGUAGCGGUGAAAUGCGCAGAUAUCAGGAGGAACACCUAUUGCGAAGGCAGCUCGCUGGGACGUAACUGACGCUGAGACGCGAAAGCGUGGGGAGCAAACAGG